CCGAUUUGAGCAAGAGUAGUACUAGGAUGGGUGACCUCCUGGGAAGUCCUUGUGAAAGAGUUUCAUAUCUAAGGGUUGUGAUAGGCUUGGCGAGCCAACGUAAAAACUAGCCAGUCUUUUGGGUAUGAAACCCAUUUGGGCGAGAGUAGUACUAGGAUGGGUGACCUCCUGGGAAGUCCUCGUGAAAGGGUUUCAUAUCUAGCCUACCCCAACUUGUUUGGGAUCAAAGGCUUCGUAAGUAAGUAAGUAUGUAAGUAUACAUCCAUUUCUGCGACGACUAACUUGGAACAGAGGGAGUAUGUGUGUAUCAUGUUGCGGCCGAAAUCAGUGUUUUGACCCUUUUUGGAAAAGAUCAGCACAAAAUGAACCUUGUUGGUAACUUAUCUGAGGCGAUGAUGAUAAAACAUGGCUGACAUAAACUUGUCUUCGAUUAUUCGAGGAGCUGUGGGCAUCAAAAACCCACUCCCCCCUCUUUUAGAACCUUUUCAUUCUCACCGAGUAUUGACGGCUCUGUCUUGGAUGGUCAUUCUGUUGAGUGAUAACCAGAGGAGCCUGACUUCAUUGGUGGGGGUUGAUCUGGUGAAAGAAGAUGGUGGAGCUAGGUUGUAUGAUCUAUCAAAGGCGAAUCUGAGCCCUCUCAAAUCUCAAUGCAACUAAUAUUGUGCCCUCUACACAUUUAUUUAUUCCUAUUGCCUUUUUAUGUUUAAAAGUGAUGAAUUGUCACGGUUGUGGCAUUUGCUAUCUCAUUAGGAGCAGAUACACGCAAAUCAUCUCUUGUAGUGUUUGGUUUGCCUUCUCAUGAUUUUGUUGUCCAUGGUCGGAGCCAGUUUGGUGCAUUCGGGCCUUUUCUUUUCUGUUCUUACUUUUCUGUUCUUACUUUUCUGUGAAUGGUUGUGAUAAUUCUGCUGUCUCUUGGAUAGUUUUUGGGAUUACCUUAUUGAGUUCGGGGUCAGUUUGCUUGUUUCAAUUGCUAUUUGACUUUUGAUAAUCUCAUUCUUCUACUAUACUCUUUAUCUACUUAUCAGUUUGUACUUUUGGUUACUCCUCACUUCUUUACUGGUUUCAACUUAAGGGUCAUAUAGGGCGUUCAGAUGUCAAGAUUAUGGUUUCUUUCAUGUCAUGUUCAUGAAUGGCUGUGAUGAUAUAGCUUCUCUGUGAGAGCUUCUAUCUAACACCUGAAUUGAUUCAGUUGGUGCUAAACUAGGAUGGCUUGUGUCAUAGCAAGUAACCAGUUUAACUGGGGCGAUGAUGAUAGAACAUGGCUGACAUAAACUUGUCUUCGAUUAUUCUGAGUAAAAAUGAUAGUUUCCUCAACAAAAUUUGAACCGGUCUUUCCCUUUUUGGGAAUUUGUGUUCUUGCUCACUUGCAUCCAUGUAAAAUCAUGUUCUGGUGGAUGCAUAGGACUGUUUUGCAAGUUUAUAUUUUUGCCUAUUUCCUACUCUCUAAAAUAUGUCUAUAUACAUCCGUAUGUGGUAGUCCAUUUGAAAUCUCUAAAAAGACAAAAAUUUAGGAACGGAGGGAGUAUCAUUUUGUUGGUUUUGCAGUAUGUCAACCAGUUCUGUUGUUUUAGGAACAAUACUCCAGCCGAACUUAUUCUUGUCUUCCGUUCUUUCUUUUCUGUUCUUCCUUAUUCUUGAAAGUCUAUGAUAACUCUGCUGUCCCUUGGAUAUUUUUUGAAACCAUUUUAUUUGGUGCUGGGUCAAUUUGCUUGUUUCAAUUGCUAUUUGACUCGACAAUUUCAUCCUUCUACUCUAUUCUUUAUCUACUUAUCAGUUUGUACUUUUGGUUACUCUUUACCAAGUUAUUGGUUUCAACUUAAGGGUUGUAUAGGGCAGGUUCAGAUUUCAAGAAUACUGUUUCUUUCGUGUCAUGUUCAUGAAUGGCUGUGAUGAUAAUAGCUUCCCCGUGAGAGCUUCUAUCUAACACCUGAAUUGAUUCAGUUGGUGCUAAACUAGGAUGGCUUGUGUCACAACAAGUAACCAGUUUAGCGGCUAAUUAUUACUCCCUCCGUUCACAAAUAGAAGAUAUCGGAAGAGCGUGGU